rnacentral:piRNA from 1 species
UUUGGAGCAGCAGGAUGCCAGU